CAUGCUCGCUAGGAUAUCGCAUCCUAUGCAUACGUAUCUUCUCGGACGAGAGAAGAAUCAGAGCAUUCGUAGCUCGGCUGACACGCACACAAACAAACACAGGCAAAGGCAAACGUGGAGCCUGAAUGCCAAUCACUGGACUUACAUCAGCAUCCGAACCAAACACACGCACACUGGAACCCAAAUGCCACUCGAUGGACUUACAUCGGCUUCCAAGCACACAACAACACAACAAGUUAAUAGGGAGUCGGGGACUCGAGCCUAUAACUGUCAAGCACACACUCAAACAAACAGACAACAAAUUGCUAAGGAGUCAGGCACUCGAGCCUAGCAACUGUCAAACAACACACACAAAA
rnacentral:lncRNA from 1 species